UAAGGUGACGUAAGAUUACGCCAUGACCUCCAGGUGGCAGUACAUGGGAGCUACAGAAACAGCGUAGCACAGCAAGCUAUGCUGUUUCCAUGAUGAAGAGAAUACCACACUUGGUAAGACCUGAGCGCAAAGAGUUUGAUACGAGAAAAUUGAACAUUUCUUACCUCGUCAACUGUCUGGGCUGGGUGAAGUCGGAAGUUGACAGUAGCUCUUGCCGUGUGAGGGAUCACAUUUUCCUGAAUAAAAAUACAUGCAAGCGGUAAGAAACUGGAUGAAAC